rnacentral:rRNA from 1 species
UACGGAGGGUGCGAGCGUUAUCCGGAUUCAUUGGGUUUAAAGGGUGCGUAGGUGGGAAUGUAAGUCAGUGGUGAAAUCUCCGUGCUUAACAUGGAAACUGCCAUUGAUACUAUGUUUCUUGAAUUUUCUGGAGGUUAGCGGAAUAUGUCAUGUAGCGGUGAAAUGCUUAGAUAUGAACAUAGAACACCAAUUGCGAAGGCAGCUAACUACAGGGAUAUUGACACUGAGGCUCGAAAGCGUGGGGAUCAAACAGG